rnacentral:rRNA from 1 species
UGCAAGUCGAACGGUAACAGGAAAAAGCUUGCUUUUUUGCUGACGAGUGGCGCACGGGUGCGUAACGCGUAUACAAUCUACCUUUUACAGGGGGAUAGCCUUUGGAAACGAAGAUUAAUACCCCAUAGUAUUUACAAUUCGCAUGUUUUGUAAAUUAAAGUUUCGGCGGUAAGAGAUGAGUAUGCGUUCUAUUAGCUAGUAGGUGUGGUAACGGCACACCUAGGCAACGAUAGAUAGGGGCCCUGAGAGGGGGAUCCCCCACACUGGUACUGAGACACGGACCAGACUCCUACGGGAGGCAGCAGUGAGGAAUAUUGGACAAUGGGCGGAAGCCUGAUCCAGCCAUGCCGCGUGCAGGAAGACUGCCCUAUGGGUUGUAAACUGCUUUUGUACGGGAAGAAACCCAUCUACGUGUAGAUGGCUGACGGUACCGUAAGAAUAAGCAUCGGCUAACUCCGUGCCAGCAGCCGCGGUAAUACGGAGGAUGCAAGCGUUAUCCGGAAUCAUUGGGUUUAAAGGGUCCGUANGUGGAUUGGUCA